rnacentral:rRNA from 1 species
CAAUAGCGUAUAUUAAAGUUGUUGCAGUUAAAAAGCUCGUAGUUGGAUUUCGGGGUGGCCUGGCUGGUCCGCCGCAAGGUGAGUACUGGUCAGCCGCCCUUCCUCUCGAAAGCCCCGACUGCUCUUUACUGCAGUGGUCGGGUAGUUCGGGACGUUUACUUUGAAAAAAUUAGAGUGUUCAAGGCAGGCUAUCGCCUGAAUACAUUAGCAUGGAAUAAUGGAAGAGGACCUCGGUCCUAUUUUGUUGGUUUCUAGGGCCGAAGUAAUGAUUAAGAGGGACAGUUGGGGGCAUUCGUAUUUAAUUGUCAGAGGUGAAAUUCUUGGAUUUACGAAAGACGAACUAGUGCGAAAGCAUUUGCCAAGGAUGUUUUCAUUAA